GUCUGGGAUUUGCGACCACCCCUCACCUGAGUGGAUUCGAUCUUGGAGUUUGGAAGCUGAAGUCCUAGAAAAAAAAAAAAAUCAGGAAACCUUGUCUCAAAAGAAAAACCAACAAAAAAAAAAAGAUAGUGCCUGCUUCCACUUCCGUCUUCCACGGCCAUUGAAAUCCACUGAGCUCUACCACCAUGCAGAGGCAGGCAAGUGAAAGCUGGCCAGACCCUGGGUGAUUCCAUCCCUCCCUAAAUAAAAAGGCUAAACACUGACAAAGGAGAUGCUAAGAAGCCAAGAUGCCAUCCUAUGCAUUCUUCAUGCAAACCCACGAGUCAGGCUCAAGAAGCAGCAGUCAGACGCUUCAGUCAGCUCCUCAGAGUCUUCCAAAAAGUCUUGGAGAAGUGGGAGACCAGGCAGGUCUGCCAAAGAAAAAUGAACAUGAGGGUACGGCAAAAGAGGACCAAACUGUUAUGUUCUGAAUAUUGCAAAUUACAUCCCUGCUUAUCGAUGUGACGUGAGGACCUGGGAGAGGUGGCUUACCCCUGCAAGCCAGCAGCUUUAGGAAAAUAGGAUAUUACCGUCUGCAGAGGGAAAGGACAUUCUGGUGAAUCAAAAAAAAAAAAAAAAAAAAAAAAAGA